UACGGAGGGGGCGAGCGUUAUUCGGAAUUAUUGGGCGUAAAGGGCGCGUAGGCGGCCAACUAAGUCAGACGUGAAAUCCCAAGGCUCAACCUGGGAACUGCGUCUGAUACUGGAUGGCUUGAAUUCGGGAGAGGGAUGCAGAAUUCCAGGUGUAGCGGUGAAAUGCGUAGAUAUCUGGAGGAAUACCGGUGGCGAAGGCGGCAUCCUGGACCGACAUUGACGCUGAUGAGCGAAAGCUAGGGGAGCAAACGGG
rnacentral:rRNA from 1 species